rnacentral:rRNA from 1 species
GAUGAACGCUGGCGGCGUGCCUAAUACAUGCAAGUCGAGCGAACGGACGAGAAGCUUGCUUCUCUGAUGUUAGCGGCGGACGGGUGAGUAACACGUGGAUAACCUACCUAUAAGACUGGGAUAACUUCGGGAAACCGGAGCUAAUACCGGAUAAUAUUUUGAACCGCAUGGUUCAAAAGUGAAAGACGGUCUUUCUGUCACUUAUAGAUGGAUCCGCGCUGCAUUAGCUAGUUGGUAAGGUAACGGCUUACCAAGGCAACGAUGCAUAGCCGACCUGAGAGGGUGAUCGGCCACACUGGAACUGAGACACGGUCCAGACGCCUACGGGAGGCAGCAGUAGGGAAUCUUCCGCAAUGGGCGAGAGCCUGACGGAGCAACGCCGCGUGAGUGAUGAAGGUCUUCGGAUCGUAAAACUCUGUUAUUAGGGAAGAACAUAUGUGUAAGUAACUGUGCACAUCUUGACGGUACCUAAUCAGAAAGCCACGGCUAACUACGUG